UGCCUUUGUGUUGCCUGUUCAUUUUUCACUGUGAUGAACGAGGUGUCAUCUAAGGCACACAGCAAAUCUUUUCACGGCAUGAUGCAAGUCUGGAUUUCUCAAUUCCCAUUGCUUUUGCUGUGACAAGAACAUUU
ensembl:snoRNA